rnacentral:rRNA from 1 species
AUUGAACGCUGGCGGCAUGCCUUACACAUGCAAGUCGAACGGUAACAGGUCUUCGGAUGCUGACGAGUGGCGAACGGGUGAGUAAUACAUCGGAACGUGCCUAGUAGUGGGGGAUAACUACUCGAAAGAGUGGCUAAUACCGCAUGAGAUCUACGGAUGAAAGCAGGGGAUCGCAAGACCUUGUGCUACUAGAGCGGCCGAUGGCAGAUUAGGUAGUUGGUGGGAUAAAAGCUUACCAAGCCGACGAUCUGUAGCUGGCCUGAGAGGACGAUCAGCCACACUGAGACUGAGACACGGCCCAGACUCCUGCGGGAGGCAGCAGUGGGGAAUGUUGGACAAUGGGCGAAAGCCUGAUCCAGCAGUGCCGCGUGCAGGAUGAAGGCCUUCGGGUUGUAAACUGCUUUUGUACGGAACGAAAAGCCCCGGGUUAAUACCCUGGGGUCAUGACGGUACCGUAAGAAUAAGCACCGGCUAACUACGUGCCAGCCGCCGCGGUAA